rnacentral:rRNA from 1 species
GAUGAACGCUAGCUACAGGCUUAACACAUGCAAGUCGAGGGGAAACGAUAUUGGAAGCUUGCUUCCGAUAGGCGUCGACCGGCGCACGGGUGAGUAACGCGUAUCCAACCUGCCCACCACUUGGGGAUAACCUUGCGAAAGUAAGACUAAUACCCAAUGAUAUCUCUAGAAGACAUCUGAAAGAGAUUAAAGAUUUAUCGGUGAUGGAUGGGGAUGCGUCUGAUUAGCUUGUUGGCGGGGUAACGGCCCACCAAGGCGACGAUCAGUAGGGGUUCUGAGAGGAAGGUCCCCCACAUUGGAACUGAGACACGGUCCAAACUCCUACGGGAGGCAGCAGUGAGGAAUAUUGGUCAAUGGGCGAGAGCCUGAACCAGCCAAGUAGCGUGCAGGAAGACGGCCCUAUGGGUUGUAAACUGCUUUUAUAGGGGAAUAAAGUGAGCCACGUGUGGUUUUUUUGUCUAUGUACCCUAUGAAUAAGGACCGGCUAAUUCCGUGCCGAGCAGCCGCGGUAA